ensembl:lncRNA
UUUUUAUCUCAUGAUUUAGUUCAAAUAUUUCUAGGUCUUAUGUAGAAGAAAAUAGCCACUGACAUCUAGUGGCUAUUUUUGGGUACUUAUUCCUAAAGAUGUCUGAUUUAGCUCCCUGUCUAGCAUAAUCUGUACCUCAUCUGUUCGUGGUCCGGAUGGGUUCAGUUGUUUUUUGGGGUUUAGCUCAAUCAUGAAUUCUGCUUCAGAUGAAACUUUUUGUAUUUUCUUCUAUUCUACAUUUGGCCUUUGGCACCUUAACUAUAUCGGUUGUGGGUAAACAAUAGAUUUUUCUUUUCAUCUUGUGGCACCGCUGUGAAUUUGGUAGCAGGAUGCACAACUCACACUGAUAGGCCUCCAUCCUCCAUGAUAUCCGUGAACAGCCAAUCAUUUUCCAGGGGGGGCGUUAGAACCUGAUGUGAAUGAGGGGUCUGGAUUGGGGCAGGGAAGGAUCUAGCCACUCCUGCAAAGGGAAUACAAUUCUGAUUCAAGUCAUCUUUCACCAAUGAGAAGGUACUAUCGGGUUGAGGACAAGAGCUCUGAAGCAUGUUGGUGUCUGGAAGGUUACAGUGGUAGCCUAUGGAGGAGUAGAGUUGGUUUGGGGUGUCAUUCAAACAGGUGAGCUGCCUAUCUGUACCUUGUCUCUCCAAAGCACUCUCCAACAAACACUGUGAGCUGCCCUGGCCAUUUAAGAAGUCUCUAAUGGCUGAUACUGGAUCUACAGAGCAUCUGUAUGCAUGUCCAGAGUCAUACUGCCCGCUGAAACAGUCAAUCAGCUCCAUCUCAGACCUGCUGUCAGUGCUGCUGGUGCAGAGCAUCCACUUCUCUAUGAAACUGUCCGACUGAUUCAGAAAUGUGACAUCAUCAAUGUGCAACUUAGUGGCUAGGUUCCCUUCUUCACCCUGAGACCCCCAUAUGGUCUCAAGAUGGGGGUCCACGAAGUCCCCAAAACUCCCAUCGUCCAGUGGCUUCUCCUCUGAGGCCCAAAACCUCAUCAUAUCCAUUCUCUGGCUCUCCACUGUGUCAUCGUCGGCCACGUUGUUUUGGGACUGGCAGCAGACGGAAAUCUCAGUGGCCGCUGUGACUCCAAAGUCACAAGAGUCUAGGGACAAAUGGGAGAGUACAGGUGACAGGGGAGUCUGGUUGAUAGUUGACACGUCUUGGUUUUCUGGUAGAGCCCUCUGGUUCAGAGGUGGAAGCGUGGUAUUUGAAUCGGACUCUUGUCUGAGCUGUGUUUCAUAUUUCUCCCUAAUGCUGUCAAUCCAGCUACAAAGGCUCUCCUCUGAAGCCAUUUCACAUCCAAAGGGCUCCGUGGGAAGGUUUUCCCUGCCUCGUUCCAAGUCUUUCGUUUUUCCUGAUGAUCUCGGUGAUCCGCAGUCCGCUGGGUCGUCUAAUCUGAGCCCCUGUCUGUCUGUUCUCUCACGAGGAGGGCUGCCGUUGGACUGGUCCAUGUGUUGCUGUGGGCUGAGGCUCAAAUAGUCCCCCGGUUCACUGUGUUCAACUGCAAGGUCUUCAGUUGGAGUUGAACAAGGGGAGAGUGCACCCGCACUUUUGGGAGCUGGAGGGGAGAGUUGGAGUCAACAGGGUGGACGAAGGAAGAGAAAUGACAAAAGAAAAACACUCACCUCUGGAUCAUGUUGUGGAGAAAGCGUCGGUGGUUGACUUGGCGUUUGGACGGACGGUUCUUUCUUGGUCUUUGGAGUGUCCGCAUCAUGUGACCGGCUGCUGAUGUUACAAAGGUGAAGAGGUCGCGACCCCAGGGAACACCUCGCUCCAUCCCAGGUUCAAAGCUCAUUGAAUUUGAUGGACGCAUGGCUGGGAUUAGAAGAGGAGAAGUAACGACAUCUUCAGGGUAUUAGUGGAGGUUGAGGAAGAAGGUGAAAGAGAAGAUCUAGGUGGAACAUCUUGGUGAAUAUGUUCAUAUGAAUUCCAAUACAAUCAUGAAGUGGAAAAAUCUUCCUUGCAAACUUCCAAAGACAUGGUAGCAUAUGUCGAACAGAAGUGUCAACAGAUAUAAUACUGAAAAGAACCAUGUAAAAUUGGGAAACUCAUACUAGUGUAGGCUUAUUGAAAAGGUCUGACAAACUGAUACCUUUUUCGAAUUUUCAGUAAAGACCAAAAAUGAUUUAUCAACGAGCAUGACUUAUGAAACCUAAUGCCAUAAUUGAGAGAAAACUGAACAAAUAGCACUUAAAAACUCACUCACUUCUUUAACACAUUAGGUUAUAACCAAACCCUAAUCAUUUUGUUGAGAUUAUAUUUGAAACAAAACUAUUGAAAUUUUAUGGUGGACCAGUCAACAUAUUUCAGGUAAAACAUUUCUAUUAUGGUGUAAAUAAAAUAAAACAUUGAAUGAUUUAUUCCAAUUAACAAUUUAGUUAUAGUAUGGUACAUGCUCUAAUCGAACCCAUUACAGUUCAACAGCAGCAUGUUAAACAAAGCUG